AAAAAAAAAAAAAAAAAACAAACCAGAAAAUAGAAGACCCAAACCCCUUCUUCCAUUUUCGGUGAAGCCCAGAACACCGUUCUUUCUUUUCCCUAUGAUGUGUUCGGUUAGCUCCCUUGUGUGUGUGUGUGUGUGUGGGUGUUUGGGUAGUGUAUAGAAAAGAAAGAGAAGAAAGGUAGAACAAGUGAGAAACUUCUUGAACGUGUUCUUCCUUUAGAAAAUUGCAGCAACAAGAUAAGCGUCUCUCUCUCUCUCCCUCCAUUUUUAAUUUUUCACCUUCUGUAAAUUUCUCUCCAUUUUGUCAUCAGAGCUCCUCUGCCCACCGAAACUCUCUUUUUCCUGUCUCUUUGCCGCUGUUCCGUCAGUGUUUGUAACAAGUGGGUGUCCACCGGACGCCCGGAUUUCAUUACAUCUUCUCAACGUUCUCCGACGAUGACCAGAUCUACGAAACUAGAAGUGGUGUGCCCAAUGAGAUGAGCAUAUUAGAGAUCUUUCAGUGUAUUGAGGAAAGUGAUGACCAUUUCUUUCUCGGUUGGACCAACCCAACUGGCGAUUUUUGAGUUCGACAGUGAUGGAAUUUUUUCUUGAUUUCAACCUUUGAUUCCAAAACCGAACCUUUGAUUUUGGGAACUUGAGGAUGGAAACCAAAAAUUCCACCCAUGCUGUGAAUUUCUUUUCAAUUUUUAGAUGUGGGUUUGAUUAUGAACGGGUUCUUGAAUUAACUUCUUGGGUGUUUUGGGUUGCCCUUAUUUCGACUCGGGGCUUGAUUUUUAUGUUGAAGUUGUGAUUUUUGAAUUGGAGAAAUGGGAGAAUUGGGGCAUGAUUUGUAUGGGUUUCUGUUCUUGAUUGCCCUGAUGAGAUGAUGAGUUUGUUAUACUAUAUCCA